GCAUAAUGGCCUUAUCUGUUGUUGGGUGGUCUUAAGGACCAAGACAAGCAAUAAUUCUCGGGAACUAAUCUUUGUAUUGGUUUCCGAGCUAACGUGUGAGACGGCGGAGAAAUGGUCGUCAGUGAAUUCUGCUACUUCGACUGUGACUGUUGCUUAAGGGGUUCACUCAUACAACCCUUUUGGACACCGUGAGUGUUGGGCUGCGAGGAAGAACGCUGAGUGGAAGACAGAUUUAUUAGAAAUGGAUCCUGUCGGCGUUUGUGCUUUGAUUUCGGAAAUGGCUCUUCACUAAAUACAGGCUCUCUCUCUCUCUCCCCAUCUCUGGACUUCGCAUUCUGCAUGAAGCGCAUGAUCGAUAGAAACCCUUCACUUAAGCCAUACAUGCUUCGCCCUUUAGCUAAGGUGUGGUAGGCUUACCUGGGUGCAGUAACGACCGCUAAUUGUAACCUGACCAAUUUAUCCUCGAUUGGUUAUGAUGCAGAGUCGAUAGCCGAUAACAGAAAGGUCAUUGAAACUAAAGAGGAGCUGGUUAAUUUAAUAUGGUUGUUCGUACUUGAUACAUUUUUAUUAAAAUACUGAAUUGA